AGCUCCAAUAGCGUAUAUUAAAGUUGUUGCAGUUAAAAAGCUCGUAGUUGGAUUUGGGACUGGAGUCGUCGGGUCGGCCGCGAGGUCUGUUACUGGACGGCUCCGUCAUUUCAUCUCUCGGAGACCCGUCGUGCACUUCGCUGUGCGCGGCGCGGGACUCGGGACGUUUACUUUGAAAAAAUUAGAGUGUUCAAAGCAGGCUUUUCAAGCCCGGAUACAUGAGCAUGGAAUAAUGGAAUAGGACAGGUCAAUUUUAUUGGUUAUUUGACUUGUAAUGAUUAAUAGGGUCAGUUGGGGGCGUUUGUAUUCAAUAGUCAGAGGUGAAAUUCUUGGAUUUGUUGAAGACAAACUAAAGCGAAAGCAUUCGCCAAGGAUGUUUUCAUUAAUCAAGAACGAAAGU
rnacentral:rRNA from 1 species